rnacentral:rRNA from 1 species
GAUGAGCGCUGGCGGCGUGCCUAAUACAUGCAAGUCGAGCGAACAGACGAGGCGCUUGCUCCUCUGACGUUAGCGGCGGGCGGGUGAGUAACACGUGGAUAACCUCCCUAUAAUACUGGUAUAACUUCGGGAAACCGGAGCUAAUCCCGGAUAAUCUAUUGAACCGCAUGGUUCAAUAGUGAAAGACGGUUUUGCUGUCACUUAUAGAUGGAUCCGCGCCGCAUUAGCUAGUUGGUAAGGUAACGGCUUACCAAGGCAACGAUGCGUAGCCGACCUGAGAGGGUGAUCGGCCACACUGGAACUGAGACGCGGUCCAGACUCCUACGGGAGGCAGCAGUAGGGAAUCUUCCGCAAUGGGCGAAAGCCUGACGGAGCAACGCCGCGUGAGUGAUGAAGGUCUUCGGAUCGUAAAACUCUGUUAUUAGGGAAGAACAAAUGUGUAAGUAACUAUGCACGUCUUGACGGUACCUAAUCAGAAAGCCACGGCUAACUACGUG